rnacentral:rRNA from 1 species
CCCUUAGAUGCUCUGGGCCGCACGCGCGCUACACUGGUCGAUGCAACGAGUUUCUUUCCUUGGCCGACAGGCCUGGGCAAUCUUUGAACAUCGAUCGUGAUCGGGAUAGAUUCUUGUAAUUUUUGAUCUUAAACGAGGAAUUCCUAGUAAACGCAAGUCAUCAACUUGCAUUGAUUACGUCCCUGCCCUUUGUACACACCGCCCGUCGCACCUACCGAUUGAAUGGUCCGGUGAAAUCUCCGGACUGGCGUGAGUCGGAGCAAUCUGACAAACACCGGAAAGUUGAUUAAACCUUACCAUUUAGAGGAAGGUGAAGUCGUAACA